rnacentral:rRNA from 1 species
AUUGAACGCUAGCGGGAUGCCUUACACAUGCAAGUCGAACGGAGUGGCGAACGGGUGAGUAAUGUAUCGGAACGUGCCCAGUAGCGGGGGAUAACUACGCGAAAGCGUAGCUAAUACCGCAUACUAUUGGAGCGGAAGGUAUCGGAUUAGCUAGUUGGUGGGGUAACGGCUCACCAAGGAGACGAGCCGUCGCUGGUUUGAGAGGACGACCAGCCAAACUGGGACUGAGACACGGCCCAGACUCCGACGGGAGGCAGCAGUGGGGAAUUUUGGACAAUGGGGGAAACCCUGAUCCAGCCAUCCCGCGUGUAUGAAGAAGGCCUUCGGGUUGUAAAGUACUUUCAGCGAGGAGGCGUUACUCGCAGAAGAAGCACCGGCUAACUCCGUGCCAGCAGCCGCGGUAAUAC